rnacentral:rRNA from 1 species
AUUGAACGCUGGCGGAAUGCUUUACACAUGCAAGUCGAACGGCAGCACGGGGGCAGCCCUGGUGGCGAGUGGCGAACGGGUGAGUAAUACAUCGGAACGUGCCCGGUCGUGGGGGAUAACGUAGCGAAAGUUACGCUAAUACCGCAUACGAUCUGAGGAUGAAAGCGGGGGACCUUCGGGCCUCGCGCGAUCGGAGCGGCCGAUGUCAGAUUAGGUAGUUGGUUGGGUAAAGGCCUACCAAGCCGACGAUCUGUAGCUGGUCUGAGAGGACGACCAGCCACACUGGAACUGAGACACGGCCCAGACUCCUACGGGAGGCAGCAGUGGGGAAUUUUGGACAAUGGGCGCAAGCCUGAUCCAGCCAUUCCGCGUGCAGGACGAAGGCCUUCGGGUUGUAAACUGCUUUUGUACGGAACGAAAAGGCUCUGGCUAAUACCUGGGGCUCAUGACGGUACCGGAAGAAUAAGCACCGGCUAACUACGUG